rnacentral:sRNA from 1 species
GACAUGAAUGGUGUCACCGGUAGCGUGUGUGUUUUGUGUGCAGCGGGUCGCUGGUUCGACCC